GUGAGCAGAUGCUCAACCUGAGCGCGUCUCGAAAAACAAUAAGCGCUACUGUAUCUGCGGAAGGAGCGGCCGUCCAGCCGUGUCACGGGCACGCGGGUGAAGGGCGACACCGCGGGUCACGUGACCGCGCGCUCCGUCCGUGCGGGUAAAGGUGCGCGUGCGGGAUCGCGGCGCCCUGCGGCGAUUAUGAAGGACACCUCAGAGCAGUGAGUGUCUCGAUCUGUCCUGAGCCGAGCCGAGCCGAGCCGAGUCUUGUGCCACAGCGUGUACGGUCGUGGACACGGCGCGUGCAACAUCAUGUCCAUCAGUCGCAAGAACUGGUCCGCUCUGUCCAGCCUGACGCGGCAGUGGACGGUGGAAGAUGAGGAGGAGGUCGAGAGGGAGCGCAGGAGGAAGAUUCGUAGCCACAGCAGCACAGCGGAGCCCGAUGACAGCCCCUCGGAGGACUCAUCUCCAGCGGUGGCAGUCAGCAGUUCUCAGGACAGCCGCGACGCCCUGGAACAGGCCCAGGUGGACUUCAUAGAGAUGCUGCGGAUACGUGAUGAGAAGAGGAGAAGGAGGCAGGAGGAGGCACUGAGGCGACAGCGCCAGGAGGAGGACGCGCAGCAGGGCGAGGACCAGCGAGGUGUGGAGACAGGGCAGCCAAAACAAGCGGGCGGGGAGGAGGAGACUUGUGGGCGGAGCCAAGACACGCUCACCACCGAAGUGGUUUCCACCAUGGACAGCAAGGGGAGUGAGAACAGUGGAAGAUCUGAGUCCAAACAAGAAGAAAAGUUGGAAACCCCUGGAAAAGCGUCUCGGAAGUUUGUGAGCUCAUUAUCCGUAACGUUUGACAAGGGCCACAAGUCGCCCCCUGCUGGCAGCAGUACGGUCAGCUCUCCGUUGAGUCCCACAGGCUCCUUCAGGGCAGCAUCCCCUGAGCAGACAUCUGCUGACGUCAGAGAGAAUGGAGAUGCACAGGAGUCCCCACUUGCUUCACCUUCAGAGGGCUCCCUGGACAAAGGGCAGACGCCAUUCAAGAGGCAGAACUACAGGGCCUGGUCCUUCAGGCUGAUGAGAAAAAAAGAGGAGCAAAGUGUUCCUUUUCAGAGGAGUGCAAGUUUCAGGAAUUCCUCAAACAGCACAGAACACCUUAAGGCAGGACAGCAGAUCCCUAGUCAUGAAGAUGAUAAGCAGUCACCAUUUAAAAGAAACACCAGACAAAGGCUGUCUUCACGCAGCAUCCAGGAGACGAUGGAGAGGCUGGCACUAGCAGCACAGAAAUCGGAGAGUGUCAAAUCUCCCACGGCCCCCCAGAGGACCUUGUAUUUGGCAGAUGAGGUGUCCAGGAAACGGGAGCUGUUUGAGAAGGAGCAGGCGGAUGGGGAAUCAGACAGGGAUAACCAGCGUAGCUCCUUGAAGAAUCAAGAGAGUAGCAAACACUGGAUCUCCAGCUUUUGGAAGAGCAACUCUGCAGUGGGCCACUUUAACUUGUACAGCGCAUCCAUUGCCAGCAAGAGGCAGCUGUGGGAGAAGAGAGCAGAGGAGGCAUCCACUGCCAACAGGCCCCACAAGUAGAGGGUGUGGAAGCAUGUCCCAUAUAGAUUCAGAUGCAAAGGGAAUAUCAGCAAUGGACACAACUGGGAACAUUUUCUUGCUUUGUGUACUUCAGAUGAUCUCUUAGACAUUUCAUAAAGAGCCUUGGAGGUUUUAAAGUCCUUAAUGAACACUUUUAUUCUGAAUUCUCUCGCAGGAAGAGUUUUAGUUUGAAAUGGAACAUGUGCUCAUUUCAUUUUUAUUUCUUCUUCCUAUGGUUACCUGCCACUCAAUUCAGAUACUAUUUUUUCAAUAAAAGAGUAACCAACUAAUAAAACA
ensembl:lncRNA